AUUGAACGCUGGCGGCAUGCCUUACACAUGCAAGUCGAACGGUAACGCGGGGCAACCUGGCGACGAGUGGCGAACGGGUGAGUAAUGCAUCGGAACGUGCCCGGGAGUGGGGGAUAACUGCUUGAAAGAGCAGCUAAUACCGCAUACGACCUGAGGGUGAAAGGGGGGGAGCGCAAGACCUCUCGCUAUCGGAGCGGCUGGUGUCGGAUUAGCUAGUUGGUGGGGUAAAAGCCCACCAAGGCAACGAUCCGUAGCUGGUCUGAGAGGACGACCAGCCACACUGGGACUGAGACACGGCCCAGACUCCUACGGGAGGCAGCAGUGGGGAAUUUUGGACAAUGGACGCAAGUCUGAUCCAGCCAUGCCGCGUGCGGGAAGAAGGCCUUCGGGUUGUAAACCGCUUUUGUCAGGGAAGAAAUCUUCUGAGUUAAUACCUCGGGAGGAUGACGGUACCUGAAGAAUAAGCACCGGCUAACUACGUGCCAGCAGCCGCCGUAACAC
rnacentral:rRNA from 1 species